rnacentral:rRNA from 1 species
GACGAACGCUGGCGGCGUGCCUAAUACAUGCAAGUCGAACGCAGUUGCGAACGGGUGAGUAACGCGUAGGUAACUGCCUCAUAGCGGGGGAAAACUAUUGGAAACGAUAGCUAAUACCGCAUACUGUGAGAUGGACCUGCGUUGUAUUAGCUAGUUGGUGAGGUAAAGGCUCACCAAGGCGACGAUACAUAGCCGACCUGAGAGGGUGAUCGGCCACACGGGGACUUAGACACGGUCCAGACGCCUACGGGAGGCAGCAGUGGGGAGUAGUCCACAAUGGGCGCAAGGCAGAUGCAGCCAAGCCGCGUGUCUGAAGAAGGCCUUCGGGUUGUAAAGUACUUUCAGUGAGGAAGCGUUACUCGCAGAAGAAGCACCGGCUAACUCCGUGCCAGCAGCCGCGGUAAUUC